UACAGAGGGUGCGAGCGUUAAUCGGAUUUACUGGGCGUAAAGCGUGCGUAGGCGGCCAAUUAAGUCAAAUGUGAAAUCCCCGAGCUUAACUUGGGAAUUGCAUUCGAUACUGGUUGGCUAGAGUAUGGGAGAGGAUGGUAGAAUUCCAGGUGUAGCGGUGAAAUGCGUAGAGAUCUGGAGGAAUACCGAUGGCGAAGGCAGCCACCUGGCCUAAUACUGACGCUGAGGUACGAAAGCAUGGGGAGCAAACAGGAUUAGAAACCCUGGUAGUCC
rnacentral:rRNA from 1 species